ACGCUCGACACCUACGGGAGGUAGCAGUGAGGGAUAUUGGUCAAUGGGGGAAACCCUGAACCAGCAACGCCGCGUGAGGGAUGACGGCCUCCGGGUUGUAAACCUCUGUCCUCUGCGAAGAUAAUGACGGUAGCAGAGGAGGAAGCUCCGGCUAACUACGUGCUAGCAGCCGCGGUAAUCUGAGCGGGCUGGCAAGGC
rnacentral:rRNA from 1 species